CCCUUAGAUGUUCUGGGCCGCACGCGCGCUACAAUGAGAGAUUCAGUGUGUUGUUAAAACCUGGCCCGAAAGGGUUGGGUAAUCAUUUCAAUUUCUCUCGUAAUAGGGAUUGAGCAUUGUAAUUUUUGUUCAUGAACGAGGAAUUCCUAGUAAGCGCGAGUCAUAAGCUUGCGUUGACUACGUCCCUGCCCUUUGUACACACCGCCCGUCGCUACUACCGAUUGAAUGGUUUAGCGAGAACCUCGGAUCAGAUCCCUAUUGUGUGCAAACGCAGUGUUGGAUAUGAAAAGAUGUUCAAGCUUGAUCAUUUAGAGGAAGUAAAAGUCGUAACA
rnacentral:rRNA from 1 species